GGAACUGUGCCCGAGUGCCAGGGGCCACUUUGAUAGAGUGGCUUACAGGGGCUAAAAUCCCCUCGGUUCU
rnacentral:tRNA from 1 species